rnacentral:rRNA from 1 species
UAUGCGGUGGUCAAGAACUACAAUGAUCCCCCGUAGUAACUGCGAGUGAAGCGGGAAAAGCUCAAAUUUAAAAUCUGGCAGUCUCUGGCUGUCCGAGUUGUAAUCUAGAGAAGUAAUGCCCGUGCUGGACCUGUGUAUAAGUCUCCUGGGAUGGGGCGUCAUAGAGGGUGAGAAUCCCGUCUUUGACACGGACUACCAGUGCAUUGUGGUAUGCUCUCAAAGAGUCGAGUUGUUUGGGAAUGCAGCUCAAAAUGGGUGGUAAAUUCCAUCUAAAGCUAAAUAUUGGCGAGAGACCGAUAGCGAACAAGUACCGUGAGGGAAAGAUGAAAAGAACUUUGGAAAGAGAGUUAAACAGUACGUGAAAUUGCUGAAAGGGAAACGCUUGAAGUCAGUCGCGUUGGCUGGGAAUCAGCCUUGCUUUUGCAUGGUGUACUUUCUGGUUGACGGGUCAGCAUCAAUUUUGACCGCUGGAAAAAGGCCUGGGGAAUGUGGCAGCUUCGGCUGUGUUAUAGCCCCUAGUCGCAUACAGUGGUUGGGAUUGAGGAACUCAGCACGCCGCAAGGCCGGGUUUCGACCACGUUCGUGCUUAGGAUGCUGGCAUAAUGGCUUUAAGCGACCCGUCUUGAAACACGGACCAAGGAGUCUAACAUGCCUGCGAGUAUUUGGGUGGAAAACCCAAGUGCGUAAUGAAAGUGAAAGUUGAGAUCCCUGUCGUGGGGAGCAUCGACGCCCGGACCAGAACUUUUGGGACGGAUCCGCGGUGGAGCAUGUAUGUUGGGACCCGAAAGAUGGUGAACUAUGCCUGAAUAGGGUGAAGCCAGAGGAAACUCUGGUGGAGGCUCGUAGCGAUUCUGACGUGCAAAUCGAUCGUCAAAUUUGGGUAUAGGGGGCGAAAGACUAAUCGAACCAUCUAGUAGCUGGGUUCCUGCCCGAAGUUUCCCUCAGGAUAGCAGGAAACUCAAUAUCAGAUUUAUGUGGUAAAGCGAAUGAUUAGAGGCCUUGGGGUUGAAACAACCUUAAUCUAUUCUCAAACUUUAAAUAUGUAAGACACGAGCGGUAUCUCUGAUGACCGCUCGGCGAUGGAAGUUACUAGUGGGCAUU